CACUGCUAAUUUAGUGAGAAGACAGACAUCCCUGUGGAGAAGAGAAACAAGAAAUGAUCGGGGACAAAGCCUGCAGGAGGAUGUGAACCAGAGAGGCCAGGGUAUGUGUUUGGGGUCUCACCAGUGCUUCUCACCUGUGAGUGCUUCCCCAUCGUCAUAACUUGGCCUGGGAACAGGAGAAAUAAACCAGACGGAAUUUCUCUCUAACCACACAAGAGCUGGUUAUUAUUUCCUUGGACUGACAUACUCAA